UCCGUAGGUGAACCUGCGGAGGGAUCAUUGCUGGAACGCGCCCCAGGCGCACCCAGAAACCCUUUGUGAACUUAUACCUUACUGUUGCCUCGGCGCAUGCCGGCCCCCCUGGGGGCCCCUCCUUCUGGAGGAGCAGGCACGCCGGCGGCCAACCUAACUCUUGUUUUUACACUGAAACUCUGAGAAUAAAACAUAAAUGAAUCAAAACUUUCAACAACGGAUCUCUUGGUUCUGGCAUCGAUGAAGAACGCAGCGAAAUGCGAUAAGUAAUGUGAAUUGCAGAAUUCAGUGAAUCAUCGAAUCUUUGAACGCACAUUGCGCCCUCUGGUAUUCCGGAGGGCAUGCCUGUUCGAGCGUCAUUUCAACCCUCAAGCCUGGCUUGGUGAUGGGGCACUGCCUGUAAAAGGGCAGGCCCUGAAAUUCAGUGGCGAGCUCGCCAGGACCCCGAGCGCAGUAGUUAAACCCUCGCUCUGGAAGGCCCUGGCGGUGCCCUGCCGUUAAACCCCCAACUUCUGAAAAUUUGACCUCGGAUCAGGUAGGAAUACCCGCUGAACUUAAGCAUAUCAAUAAGCGGAGGA
rnacentral:rRNA from 1 species